rnacentral:lncRNA from 1 species
UUUCUUUUUUAAUUUACAUUGGUGCUUAUAAUAAUGCCCUACUUUACCACAUUUAUAACAAACUGGUAAUUUUCUCUUUUUCUUUGUAUUGGGAGAAAAUUUAUUAAUUAGUUUCCUUUUAGAUUUUUUAUAAUAUCUUUUAUCCUUAUUUUUGGAUUUAUAUUUUUCCUUUUUGUAUUUUUCCUUUUUCUUAUAGAGAGUGUCAGGCAUAGUUUUCUUAUCAAGGUAGUAACCAAAUUGUUCACAGAAAUCACCAAGCUCUUUUCUCUUAGUGAUUUUUUGUUUAUCCAAUUGUCUUUUUAAUUUCAUAUCUGUGCAUAAGGCUAAACCUUCGGCACAUAUUUCUG